rnacentral:rRNA from 1 species
GGCUGUCGUCAGCUCGUGUCGUGAGAUGUUGGGUUAAGUCCCGUAACGAGCGCAACCCUUGUCCCUAGUUACCAGCACGUUAUGGUGGGCACUCUAAGGAGACUGCCGGUGACAAACCGGAGGAAGGUGGGGAUGACGUCAAGUCAUCAUGGCCCUUACGGCCUGGGCUACACACGUGCUACAAUGGUCGGUACAAAGGGUUGCCAAGCCGCGAGGUGGAGCUAAUCCCAUAAAACCGAUCGUAGUCCGGAUCGCAGUCUGCAACUCGACUGCGUGAAGUCGGAAUCGCUAGUAAUCGUGAAUCAGAAUGUCACGGUGAAUACGUUCCCGGGCCUU